GUGAUUUUACUUGGUUUAUUAGAUCUAGUUUAAAAAACACAAGCAAACCCUGAUUUCCCAGACUUCCUUGCAGCUAUGGGUCAUCCUGGGAGCUUCCCAUCCCAUACCAAAGUUGCAGAGGGAAGAUCUACGGAGGAGGUGAAAACUGAGUGCGUUCUUGAGGGGUGACCAAGAACUUUGUGAGGAGAAGGAAAGGGAGACUAGAGGCAGAGGGAACAUGAGAGCAGGGACAGGGAUACAAUGGGCAGAUCUGUCUGCAAAAGGGGUUCAAUGCAUUUGCCCCACAAACAACUCAGGUGGUUCCAAUGAAUGAAGUCCAGCAGAAGGGAUGGAAGAGUGUCAUCUUUACUUGGAAUUGUGGGACAUUUUUGAAAGGCAAGUAGGGAAGAAGAGAGAGGAAGUUACGUGUAUCAGAC